UCAACAACAUGCAUAAAAAUUUAAACUUUUCUUUCAUUCAUUUCUCAUACACCAAACUCAACCUGUGCAUGCACUAAAACAUAAUCAUAAACUUGACCCCUCUGUGGGAUCUCAUCAAUGCCCCAAUGGGCGAUAUACAUGCGUUGAGUUGGCUAACAUCUGUAUCAUCAAAUAUCUAAGAUCAUGCAUCAACAAGGGAUUACAAUACUCAUAGGGUCAAGCACAUCUAUAACCUCAAU
rnacentral:lncRNA from 1 species